UAAUCAAAUAAUUGGGUUAUUUUAUUAUUGGAUUAUUAUUAUUAUUAUUUUGGAAUAAUAAUUAUUGGAAAAUAUAUAAGUUGGAAUAAGGAAAAAGAGUUUUCAUUUUGUAAAAGGGUUUUACGUGAAAACUGAGAAGCUGCAGAGAAGAGGAGAAAGGGGCAAAGAGGAAGAACCAGAGAGCAAAGGUUGGAGAAGAGCUUGGAGCUUAGAGAUUUUGCCGGAUUAACUCAGGUAACGAGCAGUGAUUGAGUAGAAGCUAGUCCUUGGAGUCUAGUAUAGUUCCUUAGGGGGUCGUGCUCUGAUAGAUGUAACAUCGGGACGGGAUGUUUUACUUAUUUUCAUUGAUGAUUGUUGAAUAAGUUUACAUGUAUUGUGUUACAUGUUUUAUACUGAUGUUGGAUUUUAUUCCGCUGCGAACUAUGCAAAUGUUUUAUUUGAUUAAAUAAAUGAGCAUGACAGGAUAAUUUGGAACA